UAUAAUUUACUCCGCAUUCGAUCGUUAUAUGGAUACCUGUGGUAAUUCUACAGCUAAUACAUGCAUCAAUGCUCGACUUCACGGAAGGGCUGUAUUUAUUAGUUCCAAAACCAAUUCCCUCGGGAUAAUUUGGUGAAUCAUGAUAAACGUACGAAGCUCAUGGCUUGUGCCGGAGCUGCGCGGAUCAAGUUUCUGACCUAUCAGUUUUCGAUGGUAGGGUAUUGGCCUACCAUGUCAUUGACGGGUAACGGAGAAUUAGGGUUCGAUUCCGGAGAGGGAGCCCGAGAAACGGCUACCACA
rnacentral:rRNA from 1 species